GCAAAUAAUGAACUCAAUUGCACCAGCACCUAAACCAUAUGAAAUAACAAUUUAAUUUAAUUGGGUUCUAUGUGGACAUGGAAGGUUUUUGUACAAAAGAAUCAGUCUAAAUCCAGAACUAAUAAAAACCUAUUGUCUUGGGCCUCUUGGGAAAUGACAUUCCAAAGGCAACUUUACUAAAGACAAAAGUCUGUUAGUCUUGUGAUAUGGCAGAGGUACAAAUCAACUUAUUAUUAGCGCAUAAAUUCACAGACGCAUGCAACAGAAGGGAUGAUCCAUACCUAAGGUGUCAUAUAAGGGAACACAAUAAAGCCCAUGAGCAUUACAUGCCUGCAUUAAUUUGUUGGUGUUAGAAAAAUUGCAGCAAAUUCUACAAAAGAUAUUCACAACAAUUUCAUUGACAUCUAAGGCAAAAGAAGUUAUCACAAAAUCAAGAAACUCUUAGAGGGGAAGAAGAUACAAAGAAAAAUAGAAGUAGAGAAAUGGAAUAAGAGAACAUAUAUGCAGACAUUUUGCUUUCAAAAUUUACAGCUCACAGAAGGAAACAGAAAGAUAAAGGAGUAAGGAAAACAAGAAACAAGUGUAUGGAUCUAAUAAAUCCACAGAAGACGUGAGCUUCAAGAAUCUACCACUCGAGUGAUCAAUAAAAUUUUCUAAUGGCUUCUUCACAUGAGACUAGAGAAAUGGGAACUUUGACAUGGAUCCCAAGUAAAGGACCUAAUAUCCACACCCAUGUACUCGAAGGAGACAAAAGAUCUCUGAUAAGUAUUUCAGAUACAGUUGUAGCUCCUAAGCUACAGCAACAUGCUUCAUGAUUCAAAAGAGAUAAAUAGAAAAAAAAAUCAAAAAUACAAUAGGUUAGUUAUCAAAGUUUUCUUUUGUUUAGCAAGCUGAAUACGAGAAGGCAAAAGGCUCAACAUGACAAGUAAAUACGGUAUUGUAAUCUUCCCAAUCAAAGCCGAUAGAGAUGGCAAAUUUUCCAGAGAAGAAUCCAUAAUAGCUCAAGCAAGCCUCUAACUACUGGUAUAAGAGUCAGACACAAGCCAAACAUUCAAUGCAUAACACCUCAGGUUAACCAAAAUUUUUACUAAGACAACAUAAAAUAAUGAAGCAAGAUUAUCUAAUUUCAGUGGCAUGGAACAUCAAAAAGAAGCAAAAAAACUUCUGCAAAUUUCUUAAGUUAUAAGGUGAGAUUCUUCAAACUAGGCUCAUGAAGUUUAUAUCUCUACUCUCCAACAAUUUCCUCCUCUCUCCAACCCAUUUGACAUCUUGUAUGCAAGUUAUAUUAACUUUACACUUAUCUAUCAGUCUACUAGUUUCAGGGAUUUUCUUAUUAGUGUCACUAUAAUGUAAGUUCUAUUAUCCUAGACUAACUACUUGACCCAUCUCUGUCCAUUAGAUUGCAGAAACCUUUGCUUACAUUUCGACAACUUAGGCACCAAAAUCCAGGAAGCUUAUGGAUGAAAAUGAAUUAGGACAAAAUGACUUUGAGACUCGUCUUAUCCAUAUUUCUAAGCAAUAAAUAAGGGCGAUGGGAGGUGCAAACUGGACAUGACCUAAUGUUCAACCUUGUAAACGAAGUAUAAUUUCAGAAUGACAGCCAUAUAGUAGUGAGAUAAGCAGUUCUUCCACUAUAGUUAGCAAUGAGUGAAGCAACCAAGAAAAAAAUUAAAGGUUGAAAUCAAAACGCUUACCAAUAACAAAAAUUCAUCCCAAGAAUGGAUAGCCACACCAAAUUUUUCAACUUCUUCCCUUUGUUGAGAAGUGACUUUGCCAAAGCUGACAAUAGCUGAAACAGAACAAUAAAUGAUGUUUAUGCUAUCAUUUUUCUCAUUUAAAUCCAUGAACAAUAAUGAAACAGAAAUCUGACAUCGUCGGAGACUUACUUCUCAAGUAUUUUGUGGCACUGGGAAGAGUUUUGAUCAGCUGCAAGGCAAAAAGUAGAUGCAUAUUAGCAAAAUAUGAACAAUUGAAAACCUAGUCCAACGAGUCAGUACAAAUACACAGAAAAAUGUCAAAACCAUUGAAGCCAUAAAAGACAGAAAAUUAAUAGUUCAUAUAACUAUGCCCUUGUUUGAUCCCCAUUUUGGGGGAAAUAAUGCAUUUUGAAUAGUAGAUAGAUAAAGAAUAUGUGGUUAAAAAUUAAAGAAAAAUUUUGGAUUUGUGUAAUUAUUUUAUUAAAGAAUGUGUGGUUGAAAAUGAGUUUUGAAAAAAUAAGUUUUUAAAAGAAUGAGAAUCAAAGAAAGGGCUAUCAUUGAAAACAGAUAAAAGUGAAAACCAUGAGUACAAAAUAAAAAUAAAAAUGAGAACCUUAAAUAAAAAUCUAAAAGAGAAAAAUUCGUCGUGCAAUCAAAUUCCUAACAUUAGCAACCGUACCUCAGGAAUCUUCUUCUCCUCUACAAAAGCAAUUGCAACCUCCGCAUGGCAAAUAAUGAACUCAAUUGCACCAGCACCUAAACCAUAUGAAAUAACAAUUUAAUUUAAUUGGGUUCUAUGUGGACAUGGAAGGUUUUUGUACAAAAGAAUCAGUCUAAAUCCAGAACUAAUAAAAACCUAUUGUCUUGGGCCUCUUGGGAAAUGACAUUCCAAAGGCAACUUUACUAAAGACAAAAGUCUGUUAGUCUUGUGAUAUGGCAGAG
rnacentral:lncRNA from 1 species